rnacentral:rRNA from 1 species
UGUCUAUGGCCAUACUACCCUGAAUGUGCCCUAUCUCAUCUGAUCUCGGAAGCUAACCAGGGUUGGGCCUGGUUAGUACUUGGAUGGGAGAACUAUCACAAUUUAUGCAUUGCCAAUCCAGCUGCCAUGAUGU